GCAGACUUGCCACCACAUUUCUGGAGGUUACACCGAGAUCGCUCAUCUGAGGUUACUUCGUCGAACCACGCAAUUGACUACUGGUGGGGAGAGAUCUGGACAAUCACGAGACUGCCCCAGCAACGGGAUCUGGAAUUAGGUGCGGACUUUGAGGAAAGCCAUUGCCGGUGCUGACAAGCACAGCUGAGUGACCUGCACAGAUAAAAUCAAGCUAAAAGAGACAGAUUUUCACCACAAUUUUAUGGCACCCCAGAUGGGACCUCGCGACUGAGUGGCAGAAGAAUCUAGGAAAGCUCACUGCGCAGCACCUUGAAGGCUUUACUUCAUCUGAAGCACAGAUUUGGCUUUUAGUGUGACGGGACCUGGGUUUACCAUGCUGUUCAAUGCAGAGGUCAUCUAAAUUCAUUUCAGUAAGUAGUUGAAAAAUGUUUAUAAAUUAUACAAAAUAGGCUUGGAUUUUGUCAUG